rnacentral:rRNA from 1 species
AAAUGGUUUUAACCGGAUGGUGAAGGGAGAUCUGGAUAGGCAAAUCCGCCAGAUCGUCUGCCAGGAAAAGCCUCUAAGGAGAGUUAGGUAACCGUACCACAAACCGACACAGGUGGACGAGAUGAAUAUUCUAAGGCGCUCGGGUGAUGGUAUGUUCAGGAACUAGGCACAUUAGCUCCGUAACUUCGGGAGAAGGAGUGCCCACGCAAGUGGGUCGCAGUGAAGAGUCUCAGGCGACUGUUUAACAAAAACACAGGUCUCUGCUAAGUCGAAAACGACGUAUAGGGGCUGACGCCUGCCCGGUGCCGGAAGGUUAAAGGGAGAGGUUAGCGCAAGCGAAGCUUUGAACUGAAGCCCCGGUGAACGGCGGCCGUAACAAUAACGGUCCUAAGGUAGCAAAAUUCCUUGUCGGGUAAGUUCCGACCUGCACGAAUGGCGUAACGAUCUGAGAACUGUCUUAACAUGCCGCCCGGCGAACUUGUGGUCCCGGUGAAGACGCCGGGUGCCCGCCACUAGACGAAAAGACCCCGUGCACCUUUACUAUACUUUUUCAUUGAUUUAUGGGGCCAUCUGCGCAGAAUAGGUGGGAGGCUUUGAUUCCAGGUUUUCGGACUUGGAGGAGCCAAAAUGUGAGAUACCACCCUGAUGGUUCUGUGAAUCUAACCUACUUCCGUAAUCCGGAAGAGGGACAAUGGAAGACGGGUAGUUUGACUGGGGCGGUCGCCUCCUAAAUUGUAACGGAGGCGCGCGAAGCUAGGUUCAGGCUGUUUGGAAAUCAGCCGACGAGUGCAAAAGCAUAAACCUGGUUAACUGUAAGACCAACAAGUCGAGCAGAUACGAAAGUAGGCUUUAGUGAUCCGGUGAUUCUGUAUGGAAGGGUCAUCGCUCAACGGAUAAAAGGUACGCCGGGGAUAACAGGCUGAUCGGAGUCAAGAGUUCACAUCGACGCUCCGGUUUGGCACCUCGAUGUCGGCUCAUCGCAUCCUGGGGGUGUAGAAGCUCCCAAGGGUUAGGCUGUUCGCCUAUUAAAGCGGUACGUGAGCUGGGUUCAGAACGUCGCGAGACAGUUCGGUCUCUAUCUGUGGUGGGCGGAGGAAAUUUGAAGGGGCCUGCCCUUAGUACGGGAGGACCGGGGUGGACGAAUCUCUUGUGUUCCAGUUGUCUCACCAGAGGCAUAGCUGGGUAGCGAAAUUCGGUCAGGAUAAGCGCUGAAUGCAUAUAAGCGCGAAACCUUCCCUAAGAUGAGAUUUCCCAACGUAAGUAUGAAGAGCACUGGAAGACUACCAGUUUGAUAGGGCAGAUGUGUAAGCGUAGUAAUACGUUGAGCUUACUGCUACUAAUCGCUCGUUCGGCUUGACCAA